rnacentral:tRNA from 1 species
GGUUCCAUGGUGUAAUGUUAGCACUCUGGACUUUGAACUGGCGAUCCCGAGUUCAAUCUCGGGGGGACCU